rnacentral:rRNA from 1 species
GGCAAGCGUUGUCCGGAAUUAUUGGGCGUAAAGAGCUCGUAGGCGGUUUGUCGCGUCUGUCGUGAAAGUCCGGGGCUUAACCCCGGAUCUGCGGUGGGUACGGGCAGACUAGAGUGCAGUAGGGGAGACUGGAAUUCCUGGUGUAGCGGUGGAAUGCGCAGAUAUCAGGAGGAACACCGAUGGCGAAGGCAGGUCUCUGGGCUGUAACUGACGCUGAGGAGCGAAAGCAUGGGGAGCGAACAGGAUUAGAUACCCUGGUAGUCCACGCUGUAAACGAUGAUAACUCGCUGUUGGCGAUAUACUGUCAGCGGCCAAGCGAAAGCGUUAAGUUAUCCACCUGGGGAGUACGAUCGCAAGGUUGAAACUCAAAGGAAUUGACGGGGACCCG